AAGUCAAAAUCAUAAAAAGAAUGAAAGGCUAUUAUAAAAAAAAAGGAGGAAAAUGCUUUGAUUUCACAGAUUUUUCUACUUAUUAAUGUUUAAGGUUCUCUCUUCUUUUUAAAAGUAUCUUCUCAUAUUGCUUUGUAUGUGUUAUGUACAGGUAAUAUCACUUUUUGAUGACUAUAUCACAUGGCACAUGGAUUACGUAGCUAAAUAUUAACGGAUGGAGGUUGAGGGGAUUAGUAUGGGAAAAGAUACUGCAGCAGCCCAUCAGGACUCACAUCAGUGGUUCAGACAAGAUUACAGCUGUGGCAUGAAAGUGAUGAAUCUGAUGAGCUGUUGCAGAAUAGCAGAGGACAACAUGAUGAAUCUGCUAAUGGUGGGACACUGGUAAGAGAGGUCAUCAGGAGGAGAAGUCCAGUGACAGAAGGACAGACACCACUGACCUCUUGGCAUAUUUGGAAGAUGUGGAAGAAACAAUUAAUGAAAUAGUAACAGCAUUCAUCAUUCCUUGCAGAACUGCAGCCUUUGUUGGGAGAUGCAAGUUGUAGAAACUUUGGUGAUGCUAUACUGUUUUGUAAAUCUGCUCACAAACUUUUAGGUUGUGCAUCACUAGUACGUCAAAAAUGGAGAGGUAACAUGUCUGUCAGUGUAAUGACAAGUUUAUUACAUUGGUAUAUUCCUUAACAAUAUGUGCAGUCUUCUGUCCAUUACAUUGUUGCUGUUAACACCAUCUGAUGACACCUUGUGGUUUUAGAGGGGUCACUUAACUGUCCCCAAGCCAAAGUGCCCAUUGCUAAGCCUUGCAUAUCCAUGUAUAGGAGAGAGAUUUUGGCUAUCUUCAUGCCUUGCACUUGAAGGGUUAUUUUGCUGUAAAUCAAGAUCAGCUCCAUUGAAGUCAAUGGAAUUUCACUUGUAUAAAUGAGACCACUACAAUGCUACAUGCUCAGGCCAUUACAUAUUCCUAGCUCAGCACCAGCGUCAUGAUCAAAGUUCAGUUUCUAUGACCUAGUUUCCCCUGAAGUCGACAGAAACAAGUUAGCUGGAGAAGAAUGAUUGUUUUAAGAGUGUGAUUGAUCCUAAGGGCAUCUUUAUACGUGGGCUGGGGAGAGGCUCUAGUUACAGCCCAAGAGCCGCUCUAAUUAAAGACCCACAGUAUCACAUGUAUUCAGCAUCCCACACUUCAAAAUGGUGACAGGAGCACUUUAACUAAAGCUCAUUUGAUGAGCUUUAGUUAAAGUGUCCCCACCGCCAUUUUGAAGCACAGAGACACUGAGUACAUGUGAUGCAGAGGCUGCUGGAGAGUGCUAAUUAGAUUUAUCGAGUCUGCUCUGACACAUGCUAAUUAGCAUGUGCUGAAGCAGACCUCCAGCAUGUGUAUAGGUUCCCUAAAGGUUCGAGUGGCACUGAGGUGUAAUUUCUGAGAAGUUCAGAAGCAGCUCCAAACUAGCUUAGGUGAUGGAAUAGCCUUCAGCUUUCCCCCAGCUCUAGGAAUAGCAAGGGUGACUUAGCCUCCUUUGUUCUCUCCAGCUGUCUCAGCUGUGCCAAGUGGAGCUCUGUAACUGCAAUGCAUGCUCCUCUAAAUGAACUUCUCCGCUUUCCUGUUCUUAAAUAGCAUGGGCCAAAUUCGCUGCUGGUGCAGCUCCAGUGAAAUAACUGAUGGAGUUAUGCCAGCAGAGGAUUUGUCCCCAUAGCUCCUCUGAUGAUUAAAUUUCUCCUCAGCACUCUUUUUUCCUAUUGAAAUGCCAUUUACAAAAUUCAACCAUUAUGUUUAAAGCUAUCUUACUUCAGGAAGGAGAAACACGCUAUAUACUUUCGUUAAGCAAACAUUAACUUUAAGGUAAAAUGAGGCUGAGAAGGGUGAUUAGCCAGUCACUCUGAACACUUCCAAAUAAGCUGAGAAAAUCAGCUUCUCAGAAUUCACAUUAAAAAAACAUAAUGAAGUUAAUAUUAAAUAAAAAGCUUGUGCAACCUUUUACUUUUUACAGUAUAUGCUGAUGUGUCCUUGAUUCCAGUCCUGUUUUGUUUAUGAUUAAUGAAUGACUCACCUUGAAGACCGCUCAAUUUGAUUCCUACCUCAUUACGAAUUUGAAGAGGUCAUUUUGUUUUGGGGGUCUAAGAGAAAAGCCUCUUUGUAUUUUGCAAAUGCUAAUAGUUAAUAGUAUCAAAUAAUAGUUAAUAGUAUCUAAUAAUAGUCAGAUACAGUGCAUAUAUAAUGAUGACAUGGAGAAGUUUCUGUUCAAUUCAAUUCUCAUCAAAUUAUUCAAUUCAAUUCCUCAAGUUAUUCAGGAAAUUUCCAGGCAUACAAUUAAGUGCAGACUCAGUAUAACAAAGAUUGUUAUUUCUCUCAUCCUUUAAUUAAAAGGCUGCAUCUAUAUACUUUUACUCCAUAUAUAAAGACUUGGCAUGCUCCUGUACAAACUUUGAAUGUAUAUUAACAUUUUUACUAUUUUACCUAUUUCUGAAUACAAAAACCUAGAAUUGGGAUUUGCAAAGCAGAUUAUUUUUGCAGGAAGCAAAUGUUAGAUGAUUCAUAUUUUGAAAUUUUCAGCAUGAAAAGGCCAUUUCAGUGGAAUUAUGUAAAUCAAACUAAAUCAGAAUUAAUGGUGAAUGUUUUGAAAUUAGGUAAAAUAAAAUAGUGAAAAUAAUUGUGCAAAAUAGGAAGUGUCCAGGAAAAAAAAUUCUUUAGCCAUAUAAUGUGUAAGUUGUUCACAUUGAAGACAAUAGCGCUUGCACUCCUGUCCAUCAAAAUCAGGUUUUCUUUGGGAAUAAGCCAUGGCAAAAGAAAGAGAAAUUGGCUGCAACAAUUAUUUUUAGAUUUUCCCUGAAGCCUAUGCUUUAGUGCUGUGGUAAGCCAUGUGUGUUCUAAUGAACCUGAGGGCAGUGCUGGCAUCGGUUCUGACCAUUGGUCGAGUUGUUCAGCUGGACAGGUCAAAGGUUAGGAACCAGAUGAAGUGUGCCACUGUCACUCCAAGUUGGUAGUUAGAUGAUAGGUCAGAAACCUCUUCAUAAAAUAGUUAAAUUAUAGAAACACAACUAAGCAAGCAUUUUGGCAAAGAGCAUGAUGGACAGAGGCUUGUUUUUUGCCCCAGUGUUUGUCUAAGCUGGAAAGAUUCAGAUGACUCAUGGAGCAAAAUACCCCCUGUGCAGAGGAUCCCAUGUGAUCUGUGUAUGACAUAAAUAUUUCUAGACUUUGUACUGCAUUGUGCACAGUGGUGAAUUUCACUCCCUCUGAAUACCUACUACAGUAAGAUGAAUUAAUGGUCCAUGACCUAGAGAAAAACAUAGCAUCAGAUUCAGACCAUGUGUAAAUGGACUUGCAAUCCAUGUGUGCAAGUUCUGAAUUUGCCCUUUUAGGACUAGGUGAUAUAAAAAGUAAGAAAUCUUUCCUGUCAAAGCAAGUCCAUCUCUUAUUGGGUUUUUUCCAUUUACAUUUAACAAACCAUUUGACUUCUAUAUGCAAUGCUUUAUAAGCACAGGGCAAUAAAUAUAAUAAAAAUAGAAUUCCCAUAGUUGUUUUGGUGAUCAUGUGCCUGUAAUACAUAAAAGUUUUUAGGUCAGUUUCCUUUUCUACAGAAUGUGGUUUUGGUUCUUGCAUAUAUAAUUUGAAAUUUUGUUAUCUGGUUUUAUGUGACUGAGCCAAUGGGAACCGUAUAAAAAAUUAUAAUCUACAUUUACCUGUUCAGCAAAUAGAUGUGCUUUCAUUACUUCAAAGCUAAGAAGCACAUGUAUUCCAGUUGUGUUUUUUUUUUUAAUAUUUCAUCAUUCUUUGUGGCAUGUAUGAUUCAGGCUGAUUCACCUCGUUAUUUGUGUUGCAAAGGUCACUAGCUUAUUAUGUAUGGUUUGUGUCAUCAUUUUUGAAAAAUAAUGUAGCUCUGAGAAUGGUUAGUAAAUGCAGGCUGAUCUUUGGUCUCUGGUUUGCUUAAUAUUGUGGUUUUGUUUUCCAAAAUUUGUUCAGAACUAUUUGUACCUUGGAUUAUUAAUCUACAACUAAACAUUGUCCUUGGUGUUCAUCUAGCUGACGAUGCUUGGAACUAGACCAAGUCUAUUAUCUUUUCUUUGAAAUUGUGGAGAGCAUUUAUUCCAAUGCUGAAUUAAAGUUUCUUGUUCAUUUGCAAUUCUACUGGAAAUGUUUCAACUGCAGGGAGCAUUACUUGGCCAUUUAGGAUUGGUGAUCAUGCUACCAGUGCACACAAAGGUUUGAAUG